GUGUCAGCAGCCGCGGUAAUACGUAGGGGGCGAGCGUUGCUCGGAAUUACUGGGCGUAAAGGGUGUGCAGGCGGCCGGUUAAGUCAAAGAUGAAAUCCCGAGGCUUAACUUCGGAAUGGUCUUUGAUACUGAUCGGCUUGAGGCUGGUUGAGGAGAGCGGAAUUCCCGGUGGAGCGGUGAAAUGCGUAGAUAUCGGGAGGAACACCAGAGGCGAAGGCGGCUCUCUACACUAGUCCUGACGCUGAGACACGAAAGCUAGGGGAGCAAACGGGAUUAGAUACCCCGGUAGUCCUAGCCGUAAACGAUGGACACUAGAUGUUCCCGCGUUCAUGCGGGAGUGUCGUAGCUAACGCGUUAAGUGUCCCGCCUGGGGAGUACGGUCGCAAGAUUGAAACUCAAAUGAAUUGACGGGG
rnacentral:rRNA from 1 species